rnacentral:rRNA from 1 species
GACGAACGCUGGCGGCGUGCCUAAUACAUGCAAGUCGAGCGAAGUUUUUCUGGUGCUUGCACCGGAAAAACUUAGCGGCGAACGGGUGAGUAACACGUAAAGAACCUGCCUCAUAGACUGGGACAACUAUUGGAAACGAUAGCUAAUACCGGAUAAUAGCAUUAACUGCAUGGUUGAUGUUUAAAAGUUGGUUUUGCUAACACUAUGAGAUGGCUUUGCGGUGCAUUAGCUAGUUGGUGGGGUAAAGGCCUACCAAGGCGUCGAUGCAUAGCCGACCUGAGAGGGUGAUCGGCCACACUGGGACUGAGACACGGCCCAGACUCCUACGGGAGGCAGCAGUAGGGAAUCUUCCGCAAUGGGCGAAAGCCUGACGGAGCAACGCCGCGUGAGUGAAGAAGGAUUUCGGUUCGUAAAGCUCUGUUGUUAGGGAAGAAUGAUUGUGUAGUAACGAUACACAGUAGAGACGGUACCUAACCAGAAAGCCACGGCUAACUACGUG